GACAGAGGGUGCAAACGUUGUUCGGAAUUACUGGGCGUAAAGCGCGUGUAGGCGGCUAAGUAAGUCGGGCGUGAAAUCCCACGGCUCAACCGUGGAAGUGCACUCGAAACUGCGUAGCUAGAGUCCUGGAGAGGAAGGUGGAAUGCUUGGUGUAGAGGUGAAAUUCGUAGAUAUCAAGCGGAACACCGGUGGCGAAGGCGGCCUGCUGGGCAGUAGCUGACGCUGAUGCGCGACAGCGUGGGGAGCAAACAGG
rnacentral:rRNA from 1 species